rnacentral:tRNA from 1 species
GCCCGGCUGGCUCAGUCGGUUAAGCGCCUGACUUCGGCUCAGGUCAUGAACUCACGGUCUGCGAGUUCGAGCCUCACGUCCGGCU